AUUGAACGCUGGCGGCAGGCUUAACACAUGCAAGUCGAGCGAGCGGGGGACGGGUGAAUAGUGUGUGGGACACUCCCUUAUGGGGGGGGAUCAAUACGGGACACUGUCUCUAAUACCACAUACUCUCAGAUGUGCCCAUAGGGGAUUAGAUAGGAGGUGGGGUAAUGGCUCACCUAGGCGACGAUCCCUAGCUGGUCUGAGAGGAUGACCAGCCACACUGGAACUGAGACACGGUCCAGACUCCUACGGGAGGCAGCAGUGGGGAAUAUUGCACAAUGGGCGCAAGCCUGAUGCAGCCAUGCCGCGUGUGUGAAGAAGGCCUUCGGGUUGUAAAGCACUUUCAGCGAGGAGGCGUUACCCGCAGAAGAAGCACCGGCUAACUACGUGCCAGCAGCCGCGGUAAUAC
rnacentral:rRNA from 1 species